AAUGAACGCUGGCGGCAGGCCUAACACAUGCAAGUCGAACGAGUGGCGGACGGGUGAGUAAUGUCUGGGAAACUGCCCGAUGGAGGGGGAUAACUACUGGAAACGGUAGCUAAUACCGCAUACCAUCGGAUGUGCCCAGAUGGGAUUAGCUAGUAGGUGGGGUAACGGCUCACAUAGGCGACGAUCCCUAGCUGGUCUGUGAGGAUGACCAGCCAAACUGGAACUUCGACACGGUCCAGACUCCUACGGGAGGCAGCAGUGGGGAAUAUUGCACAAUGAGCGCAAGCCGGAUGCAGCCAUGCCGCGUGUAUGACGAAGGCCUUCGAGUUGUAAAGGACUUUCAGCGAGGAGGCGUUACUCGCAGAAGAAGCACCGGCUAACUACGUGCCAGCCGCCGCGCUAAUAC
rnacentral:rRNA from 1 species